UGGGGAAUAUUGGACAAUGGGCGCAAGCCUGAUCCAGCCAUGCCGCGUGAGUGACGAAGGUCUUCGGAUUGUAAAGCUCUUUUGGCGGGGACGAUAAUGACGGUACCCGCAGAAUAAGCCCCGGCUAACUUCGUGCCAGCAGCCGCGGUAAUACGAAGGGGGCUAGCGUUGUUCGGAAUCACUGGGCGUAAAGCGCACGUAGGCGGAUUUGUUAGUCAGGGGUGAAAUCCCGGGGCUCAACCUCGGAACUGCCUCUGAUACUGCAAAUCUCGAGUCCGAUAGAGGUGAGUGGAAUUCCUAGUGUAGAGGUGAAAUUCGUAGAUAUUAGGAAGAACACCAGUGGCGAAGGCGGCUCACUGGAUCGGUACUGACGCUGAGGUGCGAAAGCGUGGGGAGCAAACAGGAUUAGAUACCCCAGUAGUCCCUGAGCGGGCUGGCAAGGCGCAU
rnacentral:rRNA from 1 species